AAAAAGACAAACUAUAUUUUCCGUGUCCAAUGUUUAACCGUCCGUCUUAUUUGAAAAAUAAUAUGAAAAAAAUUAAAAAGAUAAGUCACGUAUAAAGUAUUCAUCAUAUUUUAUCAUCUAAUAACAAUGAAAAUACUAAUUAUAAAAAAAUUUCAUAUAAGACGGACAGUCAAACGUUGGCACAUAAACCCGCGGUUUGUCUUUUU
rfam:Oryza sativa (indica cultivar-group) chromosome 6, whole genome shotgun sequence.